AGACGUGAUCGAGUAUGAUUUCGUAAAAUCCAGAAGAGGCAAGGAUUUGAUUCUGCUAAAUGGAUACACAUUCUCCCGAAAAACCCACAGUCGAUGGAUUUGUACAAAAUACCCAAAAUGCAAAGCGAAGAUCAGCCGACGACCUGAUGGAAUCUUAUCGAACAUAUCCGGAGUACACAAUCACUUCCAAGAAAAAUUUAUACAAAUGCAGAAUGGAGAAAUACGUCGCGUUUAAGAACAUUGCAAUACGAUGUUGUGAAAUCUCAGAGAGGAAGAGAUCUCCUACUAGUGGAAGGUUUUACGUAUGCUAGAAGUGGGCUUUAUCGUUGGAUAUGUUCUACCCACCAUCCGUCCUGUAAAGCGAAGCUUAAAUUAAAUAAGGAAGGCCGCAUCGAACUUUAUUUUAAUAACCACAAUCAUCAACCUAAAAAAAUAUUUCGUACACAAACCGGCCAGUGUUACAGGUUUUAAAAGAGAACAUCAAUUUUUAAAAGAUUGAAAUGAUUUUACUGAAUUUGAAAACAAAAUCUAAUCGCAUGAUUUUGUUUAAUAAUUUUACGGGUGUCAAGAAAAUUGUUGUUGAGACUCAUAAGAUUAAUGUUUUUGGCCUGUGUACGGUGUACUUUAUAUCAAUCGAUGAGUUUAUGAAAAUGUUCACAACUGGACACCUCAAAUCUGACGAAGAUUUAUCAUCUGAUUCUUGGUUCUCCUAAAGAUAUAAUCGAGUUGAAAGUCUGAAGUUGCUGAUUUGUGUUCUUAAGUAGCCAUAUUCAAUGUUACUAACAUUAUUUUGGUAAUUUUUUUACAUAGUGCUUUGUGCCUUCUGCGACUCUCUGAUUAUAUUAAAUCAAUAUAUCUUAUGUUAUAAAAAAAUAUGAAUAUAUUAAGUUUUAAAUAUAUAUAGUAUACGUAUAUUAAAUAUACAUAGGUUUCAAGGAUAUAAUUCUGUGGUUUUCGCUUUUGAAGUUUUGUUUUCUUGCCACGCUAAAUUAAUGAGGAAUUAGUUUUAAUGGAGUAUUAAUCAUGCAUUAUUAUUUAAAUAUUACGAACGCUAACGGCUAAAUGCACCAAUAAUGCCAACUGGUCACCUUCACUCAUAGUCAUUGGGACUUUUAAAAAUAUAACUCUAGAAUUAUUUCCCAUGCCCCAUGCCAUGAAAGCAGCACUACAUAAUAAUGUGGAUGAUAUAUGUUUGCUGGUAAAAUAACUGGUGGGUGGGCGAUACCCAAACAUAUGGACUUGAACGAAAAAGAACAAAUGUAUGCUAAUAUUAGCUUUUUAAUUGCUAUCGAUUACUUUUAUUACGGACUAUUAGGUAUAAGUUAUGUUUAUGAAUUAGAACUAAAACUCUAAUAGUACAUAACCAAAUUACAAAAAAAAAAGCGCAAACCGUUUUACAUACUUUGUAUUUAAUUAGUUUUAUUUAUGGAUUUAAUAUUAGAUUUGAGUUCGUAAAUUGACGAUGUUUUAAAUUAGAAAUCCUUUUAAUUAUUUAAAUUGAAAUGAAUUUUGACUCUUAAGGCCGUUGCUGGAAACUAAAGAGCCGCUUAAACAGUUACCAUAAAUCACUGCAAUAAGAUGCCUUCUGAUUCUAAAUGAUUAAAUAUUUACACGAU